AGCGCUCCCGGCCCGGCCGCCCCGCUCCGCCACCCCCGAGCCCGCGGCGGGGGCCGGAGCCGAGUUCGGCGCCUGCCGUUUCUGCUCCGGCUUCUGCCGGGGCGGGCCGGGGAUCGAUCGGGCACGGUCCCGCUCCGCAUGCGGGGAGCCGGGGCCGUGCCGGGGCCCGGCAGGACGGCAGCAGCGGUGUUUCCCGGGUGCCCGCGAUGUUCCGGGAGCCAGAGCGGCCGCUGUCUGUCCCUCCACGUGCCCGCCCUCGGUGGCCCCACGAGCACACCUGGCCUAGGAGGUGGCCCUGACCGCGCCGUGGGUCCCCGCUCUGCCUUCAGCGUUUCCUGCCCUUCGUGCCUUCGGAACUUAGGGAGUUUCGAACAGCGACUUUUUCCCUGCCACCAAUAAGGUGCAGCUCAUCUGACAGCUGCCAGUCGGGGAAGGUCCUGCCUGGGAUGGAAAUGGCUAAAAAAGAGAAAACUUAAAAAUGGCAAAACCAGAUGCUGCCACGUGAGUCAAAGCAGGGAAAGCCUCGGGAUGUCCAAGGUUUGUUUUAUUGUCACGUCUGAAACCUCUGCUAAUGCCAGUGCCACCCUUAUUUCCCCCGAGGGACCCCCCAGGGCUGCCAGGAUGUUCCCAGAAUUGCAUCUUUGGGGCCCCCAUCCCCUCACAGCAUUCAAUGGCUCCAUCCUGGGGACUUCUCACAGGGGAGCAGCGAUUGCACAUGAAACUUGGAUGACCACUGAGAAAUGAGAGAGACCUGUGAUAAAAAACCUUUUCUUAAUAAGAUCAACAGUUUCUCUACAGCAGUUGAGCAGCUUCGAUAUCCAUACGACACAGCAUCUAAUUCCAUCUCCUGAUUUGAUCUUGGCAAAAGGAAGAGUCACCUGCCCUCAGUGUAAAUAUUUAGUACACAAAAUACUGUCAAGAAACCCACUUUUAAUAAAUAUCUGUAGCUCUCA